UCUCCAACACUCCUAGACUGGCCGCCGGGACCAUGAAUUACACAUUUGGUUUGGUUUGGUUUGGUCCCAGUCCAUUUCUUGGCAUGAUUUUAGUGGGACCAGGACCAGAAUGGGUAGACUGGCCGUGUGACCAUGCAUGGGACUGGGACCAAAUUUUUCCUCAGUCCCAUUAUUAGAUAUCUUAGUCCUGGUCCCAUAUAGUGUUUAGCAAAUUAGUCACUUUACACUGUUUAUAUUAUAAAUCUAGUCCCAGAUCAUGUUUUACUAAUAAAUUAGUGAUCCUGGUCCCAUUUGGUCCCAUUUUACAAAAUGGGACCAAAUGGGACCAUGAUUUACCCUAUAUAGGUUGGCAGCGAUAGAUAGGUUGGCAGCGGUAGGUAGGUUGGCAGCGGUAGGUAGGUUGGCAGCGAUAGAUUAGCAGUGAUAGAUUAGCAGCGAUAGAUUAGCAGCGAUAGAUUAGCAGCGAUAGAUUAGCAGCGAUAGAUUAGCAGUGAUAGAUAGGUUGGCAGCGGUAGGUAGGUUGGCAGCGGUAGAUUAGCAGCGAUAGAUUAGCAGCGAUAGAUUAGCAGCGAUAGAUUAGCAGCGAUAGAUUAGCAGCGAUAGAUUAGCAGCGAUAGAUUAGCAGUGAUAGAUAGGUUGGCAGCGGUAGGUAGGUUGGCAGCGGUAGAUUAGCAGCGAUAGAUUAGCAGCGAUAGAUUAGCAGCGAUAGAUUAGCAGCGAUAGAUUAGCAGCGAUAGAUUAGCAGCGAUAGAUUAGCAGUGAUAGAUAGGUUGGCAGCGGUAGGUAGGUUGGCAGCGGUAGAUUAGCAGCGAUAGAUUAGCAGCGAUAGAUUAGCAGCGAUAGAUUAGCAGCGAUAGAUUAGCAGUGAUAGAUAGGUUGGCAGCGGUAGGUAGGUUGGCAGCGGUAGAUUAGCAGCGAUAGAUUAGCAGCGAUAGAUUAGCAGUGAUAGAUAGGUUGGCAGCGGUAGGUAGGUUGGCAGCGGUAGAUUAGCAGCGAUAGAUUAGCAGCGAUAGAUUAGCAGUGAUAGAUAGGUUGGCAGCGGUAGGUAGGUUGGCAGCGGUAGAUUAGCAGCGAUAGAUUAGCAGCGAUAGAUUAGCAGCGAUAGAUUAGCAGCGAUAGAUUAGCAGCGAUAGAUUAGCAGCGAUAGAUUAGCAGCGAUAGAUAGGUUGGCAGCGGUAGGUAGGUUGGCAGCGGUAGGUAGGUUGGCAGCGAUAGAUUAGCAGUGAUAGAUUAGCAGCGAUAGAUUAGCAGCGAUAGAUUAGCAGCGAUAGAUUAGCAGCGAUAGAUUAGCAGCGAUAGAUAGGUUGGCAGCGGU
rnacentral:sRNA from 2 species